CCACUUCCUGCUGCGCAGCCCUUGCAGAAAGUUGCAUGAAGAGAAACUAGGUGGAAGAAAUGCAGGAGAACAAGAAGAGACCGAGUUCAAGCCAUAAAGUGAUGCAGCAGAGGCACAUCUAAACGUUGCAGGAUACCUGCCCUCGAGGACUGGAGUUUGACACCCCUGCUCUAGAACUUUCUUUACAAGGACUAUCCAUUUGAAUCCUGCAUUUUAUGAGCCAAUCCUAAGGCGUUUUCUUGAUAUCAACCCGGACCAAGGCCAGCUGUAGCAAGAUCAUCUCCAAGAGGACAGGGAAAACUUUUCAAAAGAAGUCGGUCACUGUCAUCCCCCGUGUUUCAAUUCUGCUGAAAAACCUCAUGGACUUUGAGUGGAAUUUCAUAGUGAGAACUUUCUAACCAAGCUAUAGAUAUUGUUGCCCCUCCACGCAAAAACAAACAAACAAAAAACUAUACAGACAUGAAGGCAACUUAUCCCUGAACAGGAGUGUUCUUGAGAGAUUUUUUUGGUUUAAAGGUCAGCAUAAUCUUAAGACAUCUCUUUCAAUUAACAGCAUAAAUUUUGUUAAGGCUCCCACUUUCUGUUCUUCAGAUGUAAUUUUGACUGUACAGGCACCAUGUUUAACUUAUCUUGUCAAAUAUUGUUUCAUUGUUUUAUCAUUUGAAGUUGUAGCUCUGAUUUUGCCCUAAGGGAAAUUCAAGUCUAAAUGUUUCAUUUAAAUUGUUAUCAAACUAAAAUUUGCAAUGUUUUUCUAUGCUUUAGAUUGAAAGUUAAAUGUUUCAUUUGUUUUAUGUUGCAUCAUAUUGUUCCUCACUUCCACAAAAAGUCAUAUUUUGUAUUGAAAAAGUAGUGUGCUGAGUUGUACAAUGCAUUAUUUCCAUAAUUUAUUUCAUACUUAUUUUAUUUCAGACUAAUCAAAAGGCCACAAUUCAUGCUUUAUUCAAAUACUAUUUAAAUCAGUUAAGAAAUUUAUUUCACAAAAUAGAUGGUGAUUUUCUUACUGUUUUUCCAGAAUAUGACUUACUUUGGACAGUUUACCCUCAACAUUCUUGUAGAAAAGGUUUAGGUUUAAGGCACACAUACGUUGUCGUUUCAAAACCUUCGUCUUUAUUAUGUGGCCCACUAAACACUGUGUAUGA